rnacentral:rRNA from 1 species
AGCAGCCGCCACGGGAAUACGUAGGUGGCAAGCGUUGUCCGGAAUUAUUGGGCGUAAAGGGCUCGCAGGCGGUUUCUUAAGUCUGAUGUGAAAGCCCCCGGCUCAACCGGGGAGGGUCAUUGGAAACUGGGAAACUUGAGUGCAGAAGAGGAGAGUGGAAUUCCACGUGUAGCGGUGAAAUGCGUAGAGAUGUGGAGGAACACCAGUGGCGAAGGCGACUCUCUGGUCUGUAACUGACGCUGAGGAGCGAAAGCGUGGGGAGCAAACAGGAUUAGAUACCCGCGUAGUCCCUGUCUCUUAUAC